AACAUCUCUUUGGCCUUACGCUUGCUCAUCAGUGAUAUGCCGACCGGUCUUUGUUAUAUAAUAGCAAUUUCACAUCAUUUUGCCUAUAUCGCCACUUAUUCUUGGCUCAACGUCGUUUGCUUUGGAGUUUGGCGGAUGUUUAGUUCCAUUAGACCACCGAAACACACACCCAUCUGGAGCAAAAAGUUUUUCUAUUC